UUUGUUGUUGCUUAGAUUCUGUGAUCGUUUUUUCUCACUCUGGUUUGUUAGGCACCGUUAUUCUGGCGCGUCGCUUGACAAAUGCGAAGCAAACGGUCACAGAAUUAAAACAAUAACAACAACACCCUUUCAUCUUUCGGCUGUGGCUCUGCUACGACUCCAGAAACUCAUUGCCGAUACUUUCGGUUUCGGUAAAUGUAUUUGUAGAUGUGUAUGUACAUAUGUAUGUUGUAUAUUUAUGUGAAUUGGUCUACAGUCUGCAGCACAGUUGUGUUAAUCGUGACCCAUAAACAAAUCUGGAAAGCCAAAAUUACUUUCUCAUCUUGCUCCAUGUCCUCCAUCAGGUGCGCGAAGUUUUAUUUUGAAGCCAAUUAACUCUAGAGUUGUUUAUUCUUAUACAAAAUAUUACUAAUGUACAUUUUCCUGUUACUUUAUUAUAAUUAUAAGAAAACUAAUUUGCAUCUGUUUCCCCAUUGCAUUUUAAUUGUCCCUGGCGAUUCCCUGUGACAGUCUCCGGCUCAUUUUCAGGAGUCUGAAAGCCCCGCCAUACUGUUGCUACCCUGCGGUUCCGCCACUGCAGCCAACGCCACCAGCAAAGUGGAAAAAUUUUAGUUUUCAAAGUCGUUGCCGCUUCGCCCACUGCCCCUCUACCGGAGGGCUUUUGCCUGGCUGCUGGCUGUUGCUGGCUGCCAUUAGAAGAAUUUUACUCUCAGACGCGUUAAUUUACUCACAUACGCUGCUUGUUUGCAUAAAUCAACGCUGUCUGGUGGUUAAAGUACGAACUGGAGUGCGAGGAAUCCCAGCCUGGAUAAUCAUACCCGCACCACGUUGGACAUAACUUUACGGCUCCAACUUAAAGCCGCAAAAAUCAGCAUAGCUCGUGCGGUGGCAACGGCUGCUGCUCCUGUUAUGUGGGCCCCUCUCGUGUCACUUUCCAUAAGGGAUGGCAGAAUCUCCACCUGCGUGGAGCGUAUGUUUCCGCAUUUAUUACACGGCUCGCUGGCGCGAUUUACAACUCGUUUACUGAGCGAUUUAAUCCUUUUUGCUUGGCAAUUUUGAUUGCCGCAUCGCGCUCUGCACAUUUGUUAGAUUAUAAUGAGAUUUUCUGUUGUGACUUUUUAUGGGAUAAAUAAAAUGAAG
rnacentral:lncRNA from 1 species